UACGUAGGGUCCGAGCGUUGUCCGGAAUUAUUGGGCGUAAAGGGCUCGUAGGCGGUCUGUUGCGUCGGGAGUGAAAACUUACAGCUUAACUGUGAGCGUGCUUCCGAUACGGGCAGACUUGAGGUAUUCAGGGGAGAACGGAAUUCCUGGUGUAGCGGUGAAAUGCGCAGAUAUCAGGAGGAACACCGAUGGCGAAGGCAGGUCUCUGGGCCGAUACUGACGCUGAGGAGCGAAAGCGUGGGGAGCGAACAGG
rnacentral:rRNA from 1 species